UUGGAGAAAGCAAAUGCAAUUCGCCAGGCAUUUGCUGGAAGUGAUGAAGAGAAUGAUUCAGACAGCUGGAGUGACUCUUGAGAAAAACUUCCUUGCAUGCAGCAUUUCACCAUGGUGGUUAAUGCCUUUAAUGCUUUGUCUACACAUGUACUCUUCUUUAAAGUGAAUAGAAAUCUCUGCUGUUUGGGUAUUCUUUUUCCUCCCUACAGUCUACGCUAUAAAUUUAUGUAUAAUCUCUGUUUUCUACUCGUCUUCCUUGUCACACGCAGUUGUUGAAGAUGCAGUGGUCGGUUUGCUGCCCCUGCUUUACUCGGGAUCCCAUUCCAGGGCGAAAUGCUUAUUUACAUGAAUGGCUUACCGUGCAAGCGCUCAUCCAAUCUAAAUGUAUGUAUCAUUGUAUUGAUAUCUCUGUAGGUGUAAAUUGUGUUGGGGCGGCAUAAAUUUUGAGGUGUAGCGCACUUCUGAUGAAAUUUUGUAGUCUGUAUGUAGUGAUUUCGUGAUAUACGCCUCUGCCCCAUUUAGAAUGUUGUUUCUGGUUUAUGGAUUGUAUCAGAUUUUCAAGAUUCAAUUAAAUACAAAAGUUACUGCAGUAACUCUAAAGAAUCAUGUAAAUCUGAUACAAUCCAU
rnacentral:misc_RNA from 1 species